rnacentral:rRNA from 1 species
AGAUGGCGACCGGCGCACGGGUGAGUAACACGUAUCCAACCUGCCGAUAACUCGGGGAUAGCCUUUCGAAAGAAAGAUUAAUACCCGAUGGUAUAAUCAGACCGCAUGGUUUGAUUAUUAAAGAAUUUCGGUUAUCGAUGGGGAUGCGUUCCAUUAGGCAGUUGGUGAGGUAACGGCUCACCAACCCUUCGAUGGAUAGGGGUUCUGAGAGGAAGGUCCCCCACAUUGGAACUGAGACACGGUCCAA